rnacentral:lncRNA from 1 species
CACUAUGUGUCCUAUAUCAGUAGUACAAUCUCACCUUCCUACAGACGAUGGUAUCGCAGUUUAUUUUACACCUAAGAAUCCAAAACAUAAAAAGAUUGUGGAGUCCACUCCGGUAAACAUCCAUUUCUAUUUUGAUUAUCCUUUGUGUUCUAACCUAAAUGCGUGGAAGGUUGACAAUCUUGUAUCAGAAUUUCUGCCAAUUCUACACACCAUAAGCACAGGUGCAAAAGAUGAGAGCAGUUGGUUCCAAAUUAAGCAUACAACAAAUAGAAAGUAUAAGCUAGUGUUUUGUCUCUUUGACACUUAUUGCCAAGACAUUGGCAUCGUCUCACAAAGUGGUUAUCAUCGUUUGGUUCUCUCGGACAACCCAAAGCCUUUUUGCUCAAACUGGAUGAUAGAAUUGGAAUGGCAGCAGAAGUAUGAUCUUGUCAUGUUAUGCCUAGAUCUACUCUACGUAAUGUAUAAUAAUAAUGCAUGUAGGUACUUUAUCCUGUUGCAUGGAUGUAAAACUUGAUAAUAAUGUAAUGGGGGUCUGUCUAUGUGCCCCUUAUAUAUGAUCACAUGAUAUAUAUUAUGUAUUGAUAUGGAUAUCAUAAAAGACUCUGGUUCAUUCCUUGAGAAAUUUCUUUAAUCCUCUAUGAUUUCAAAGAAUUAAUUAAGACACAUAAGAAUAAGUACCGAGCUUGGAUCAAUCAAUAUUGUAGAUGCUCAAUGACUUACUGGGACAAUACAUGCAAUAACUUGUUCGACAACUAACUAUGAAAAUCAUGUAGUCAUAUAUACCAUCACUUUUUUCAAGAUACUAUUAUUACUAUAUAAAAAGUCACUGCGAUUAAACAUUAGUACUAAAUAACUAUUCUCAAUUGUCAAUUUGGAAUAAAACAUCACUUGCUUCUUGCCAUUUUGGCCAGUCAUUUUUUUGUCGACAUUCUGUGACAGAUUUAUGUUCAAGAUUCCAACUAUUUUGCAAGAUUUUCGUUGCAACAUUAUAUGCAAAGACAUAAUCCACUACUAUUUCGGAUCUAUUCAAAUUAGUUUCAACAUCACUUGAAUUUAUGGAUAGUUUCAACAUCAUCUUGACCAUUUGUUUUUCUUUUUCUAGGAUUUCGAUCCUUAGAACCUAAUGGUACAUCAGGCUUCAAGCGCACUUUAGAUUCAUUAGCUAUGACACUAGUGGAUGGUCCUUUAGGGACAUCAAUUCAAAUUGGGAAAUAUUCUGUAGGAAUAUAUGAUUUAGUGAUCCUUUUCAAAUCUGUAAAUGCGUCUGGCAUUUGAUUUGCAAUUUUCUGCAGAUGAAUAAUCUUUUGUACUUCUUGUCCACAAAUAGAAGCACGUGAAUCAAGUUGAGAUAGUGAUGGAUUUUUUCACAAAAUUUCUCUUUUGAUGUCAUUAUCUUCUCCCCCUAAUUUUGGAAAAACUAUUUCAUCAAAUCAAUAAUCUGCAAAUCGAGUUGUGAACAUAUCUCUCAUUAAUGGUUCAAGAUAGUGAAUAAUGGAGAGUGAUUCAAACCCAACAUAAGUUUCUAACCUUCUUUGGAGGCCCAUUUUGGAGUGAUUUAGUUAUUCUAUAGGCACAUAUACACCGCAUCCAAAAAUUCUCAGAUGAGAUAUAUUAGGCUCUUGACCAAAAUCAAUUGCAACGGAGAAAAUUUAUGAUAAUUUGUCGGUCUAAGACGAACAAGUGUUGCAGCAUGCAAAAUUUCAUGACCCUAAACAAAGUCGGCAACUUAGUUUUCAUAAGCAAUGGUCUAGCUAUCAAAUGCAGACGUUUAAUUAAUGACUCGGCAAGGCCAUUUUGAGUGUGAACAUGGGGUACAGGAUGUUCAACUCUUAUUCCAAUCGAUAAACAAUAGUAAUUAAAUGCUUGGAAUGAAAAAUCUGUGGCAUUAUCAAGGCGAAUAGACUUAAUUUGAUUAUCAGGAAACUGUGCCCAUAAUCGUAUUAUUUGUACCAACAGUUUUGCAAAUGCCAAGUUGCGAGAUGACAAUAGGCGCACAUGAGACCAUCUAGAAGAAGCAUCUAUUAGGACCAUAAAGUAUCUAAACGACCCACUAGGUAGGUGAAUGGGUCCAUAAAUAUCCCCAUGUAUGCGUUCUAAGAAUGCGGGGGACUCAAUCCCAACUUUUGUUGGCGAUGGACUCACAAUCAUCUUGCCUUGAUAAUAACCAUUACACGAAAAUUCAACAUUCGAAAUAACCUUCAAGUUUUUUAAUGGAUGCCCAUUUGAAUUUUCUAUGAUUCGUCUCAUCAUUAUAGAUCCAGUAUGUCCCAGACGAUCAUGCCAAAGUAUGAAAGUAUUGGAAUUAGUAAACUUCUUGUUUACUAUAGAAUGUGCCUCAAUUGCACAAAUCUUUGGCCAAUAUAGGCCAGAAGAUAAUGUAGGGAACUUUUCUUUAACACAUGUUUGCCAAGAGACAUUCUUGGUGAUACAAAGAUAUUCAAGAUUCAUCUCAUCAAUUGUCUUGAUAUGAUAACCAUGUUCAUGGAUAUCUUUAAAAUCUAUCAAGUUUCUCCGAGACUUAGGAGAAAACAUAAUAUUAUUUAUGAUGAGUUUAGCUUCCUUGGGCAAGAUUAUAAUGGCUUUUCCGAAGACUUCAAUUAAAUUAGCACUACCAGAAAUUGUAGUAAUAUUAAUCUUGACCAUGUUUCGAUGAGACAAAUAUUUUUCGUCUUUGAAUAACGUAUGUGUAGUGCUAGAAUCAAUCAAACAAAUAUCUUCACAAUUGGACAGCUUACUUUGAAAAUUAUCCAUAUCUUCAAGUAAAAUAAUAUACACCAAACUAAAUAUAUAUUAAAUCUUUAUAUAAAGAAAAAGAUUAUACUAUAAGGAAUUAUUAAUCACACUUUACUAAACAAUUAAAAAGAAUAUAUCCAAUUAGUGUGCGAUUAGUACAGCUUAGCAUUUUAUUUUUCAAUAGAAAGAAGAAGAAAAAUGCAUUGUAUUUUUCAAUAAUUAAAAAAAAAAAAUAAAAACACGUAUCCAUGGAGCCAACAAUCAAUUCACUAAUAAACAAUAAUAACCUGCAUGGGCCACCAAUAAUAGCGCCUACCAUUUGCUUUAAUUAAUGUAUCGUCCAAUCAAUGAGACGGCUUAGUAUAAAGAGCACUAGACGAUGAACAUUAUUUCUCCUAAUUCUUCUUCUUGAUCCACUAUUUUUUUUUUUUUUUUUUCUUUUGCAGCACCUACCAUUUGCUUUAAAUAAUGUAUCAUUUUUUCCUUUUUUUUUUGUCAAUAAAUAAUGAAAAAAUUGAAAUUCAAUUUAAUGCAAUAAUAAACCACAAUAAUAGAAUUAAACUAAUUAAUAAACCAUUAGGUUCAUCAUUUAGUAUAAAGAAAUAAAUUAAACGUGGAUGGUUCACAUAAACUAGAUCAUAACAAUUCAUCUUGUCUAUAAAUAGAAGAGGUUAGCAAGAAGGAUACACAAAUCAUCAAAACAAAUUAAUAUCCCUAAAGAUGAAGACCAUAUUACUCUUUCUUUUCCUUGAAAUAAUAUUCCUUCCCUUGUCAGCCUUGGCAACUCCCAACAACCAAGUAUUGAUAGAUGUACUCGAUACUAAUGGUAAUCCCCUCAACAAAAGCAAUAGGUACUGGAUAACUCCAGCCUACACCACUAUGGACGGUGGAGGCAUACGUGUUGCUAAUCUUGAUAGUGAUCUACAACAAAUCACUAUGUGUCCUACAUCAGUAGUACAAUCCCACCUUCCUACAGACGAUGGUAUCGCAGUUUAUUUUACACCUAAGAAUCCAAAACAUCAAAAUAUUGUGGAGUCCACUCCGGUAAACAUCCAUUUCUAUUUUGAUUAUCCUUUGUGUUCUAACCUAAAUGCAUGGAAGGUUGACAAUCUUGUAUCAGAAUUUCUGCCAAUUCUACACACCAUAAGCACAGGUGCAAAGGAUGAGAGCAGUUGGUUCCAAAUUAAGCCUACAACAAAUAGAAAGUAUAAGCUAGUGUUCUGUCUCUUUGACACUUAUUGCCAAGACAUUGGCGUCGUCUCACAAAGUGGUUAUCAUCGUUUGGUUCUCUCGGACAACCCAAAGCCCUUUGUGUUCAAACUGGAUGAUAGAAUUGGAAUGGCAGCAGAAGUAUGAUCUUGUCAUGUUAUGCCUAGAUCUACUCUAUGUAAUGUAUAAUAAUAAUGCAUGCAGGAACUUUGUCCCAUUGCAUGGAUGUAAAACUUGAUAAUAAUGUAAUGGGGGUCUGACUAUGUGCCCCUUAUAUAUGAUCACAUGAUAUAUAUUAUGUAUUGAUAAGGAUAUCAUAAAAGACUCUGGUUCCUUCCUUGAGAAGUCUCUUUAGUCCUCUAUGAUUUCAAAGAAUUAAUUAAGGCACAUAAGAAUAAGUACAGAGCCUGGAUCAAUAAACAUCGUAAAUGCUCAAUGACCAACUGGGAAAAUACAUGCAAUGACCUGUUCGACAACUAACUAUGAAAAUCAUGUAGUCAUAUAUACGAUCACUUUUUUCAAGAUACUAUUAUUACUAUAUUAAAAGUCGCUGCGAUUAAACAUUAGUACUAAAUAACUAUUCUCAGUUGUCAAUUUGGAAUAAAACAUCACUUGCUUCUUACCAUUUUGGCCAGUCAUUUUUUUGUCGACAUUCUGUGACAGAUUGAUGUACAUGAUCCCCACUAUCUUGCAAGAUUUUCGUUGCAACAUUAUAUGCGAAGACAUAAUCCACUACUAUUUCAGAUCUAUUCAAAUUAGUUUCAACAUCACUUGAAUUUAUGGAUAGUUUCUCAUUUUCUUGAGUCUCAGGCUCAUUAAUUCCUUCAAGAAUAUCAACAUUGCUCAAAUCUUGAACUUUCAUAUGAGGAUCUUUCAUAGUGUCAUCUUGACCAUUUGUUUUUCUUUUUCUAGGAUUUCGAUCCUUAGAACCUAAUGGUACACCAGGCUUCAAGCGCGCUUUAGAUUCAUUAGCUAUGACACUAAUGGAUGGUCCUUUAGGGACAUCAAUUCAAAUUGAGAAAUAUUCUGCAGGAAUAUGUGAUUUAGUGAUCCUUUUCAAAUCUGUAAAUGCGUUUGACAUUUGAUUUGCAAUUUUCUGCAGAUGAAUAAUCUUUUGUACUUCUUGUCCACAAAUAGAAGCAUGUGAUUAAGUUUAGAUAGUGAUGGAUUUUUUCACAAAAUUUCUCUUUUGAUGUCAUUAUUUUCUCCCCCCAAUUUUUGGAAAACUAUUUCAUCAAACCGAUAAUCUGCAAAUCGAGCCGUGAACAUAUCUACCAUUAAUGGUUAAAGAUAGUAAAUAAUGGAGGGUGAUUCAAACCCAACAUAAGUUUCUAACCUUCUUUGAAGGCCCAUUUUGGUGCGAUUUAGUUAUUCUAUAGGCACAUAUACACCGUAUCCAAAAAUUCUCUGAUGAGAUAUAUUAGGCUCUUGAUCAAAAAACAAUUGCAACGGAGAAAAUUUAUGAUAAUUUGUCGGUCUAAGACGAACAAGUGUUGCAGCAUGCAAAAUUGCACGACCCUAAACAAAGUGGACAACUUGGUUUUCAUAAGCAAUUGUCUUGCUAUCAACUGCAGACGUUUAAUUAAUGACUCGACAAGGCCAUUUUAAGUGUGAACAUGGGGUACAGAAUGUUCGACUCUUAUUCCAAUCGAUAAACAAUAGUCAUUAAAUGCUUGGAAUGAAAAUUAUGUGGCAUUAUCAAGGCGUAUAGACUUAAUUUGAUUAUGAGGAAACUGUGCCCGUAAUCGUAUUAUUUGUGCCAACAAUUUUGCAAAUGCCAAGUUGCGAGAUGACAAUAGGUGCACAUGAGAACAUUUAGAAGAAGCAUCUAUUAGGACCAUAAAGUAUCUAAACGACCCACUAGGUGGGUGAAUGGGUCCAUAAAUAUCCCCAUGUAUGCGUUCCAAGAAUGCGGGGGACUCAAUCCCAACUUUUGUUGGCGAUGGACUCACAAUUAUCUUGCCUUGAUAAUAAGCAUUACACGAAAAUUCAACAUUCGAAAUAACCUUCAAGUUUUUUAAUGGAUGCCCAUUUGAAUUUUCUAUGAUUCGCUUCAUCAUUAUAGAUCUAGUAUGUCCCAGAUGAUCAUGUCAAAGUACGAAAGUAUUGGAAUUAGUAAACUUCUUGUUUACUAUAGACUGUGUCUCAAUUGCACAAAUCUUUAGCCAAUAUAGGUCAGAAGAUAAAGCAGGAAACUUUUCUAUAACACAUGUUUGCCAAGAGACAUUCUUGGUGAUACAAAGAUAUUCAAGAUUCAUCUCAUCAAUUGUCUUGAUAUGAUAACCAUUUUCAUGGAUAUCUUUAAAAUUCAUUAAGUUUCUCCGAGACUUAGGAGAAAACAUAACAUUAUUUAUGAUGAGUUUAGCUCCCUUGGGCAAAAUUAUAAUGGAUUUUUCGAAGACUUCAAUCAAAUUAGCACUACCAAAAAUUGUAGUAAUAAUAAUCUUGACCAUGUUUAGAUGAGAGAAAUAUUUUUUGUCUCUGAAUAACGUAUGUGUAGUGCCAGAAUCAAUCAAACAAAUAUCUUCACAAUUGGACAGGUUAUUUUGAAAAUUAUCCGUAUCUUCAAGUACAAUAACAUACACCAAGUUAAAUAUAUAUUAAAUCUUUGUACAAAGAGAAAGAUUAUACUAUAAGGAAUUGUUAAUCACACUUUACUAAGCAAUUAAAGAGAAUAUGUUCAAUUAGUGUGUGCUUAGCUUAGCUUAACAUUUUAUUUUUCAAUAGAAAGAAGAAAAAAAUGCAUUGUAUUUUUCAAUAAUUAAAAAAAAAAAAAAGAAUAAAAACACGUAUCUAUGGAACCAACAAUCAAUUCACUAAUAAACAAUAAUAACUUGCAUGGGCCACCAAUCAAGUCUCUUUUUUUUUCUGUUUUCUUUUUCUUUUGUAGCGCCUAUCAUUUGCUUUACUUAAUGUAUCGUCCAAAUUUUUUUUUUUUUUUUUUUUCAGCACCUACCAUUUGCUUUAAAUAAUGUAUCAUUUGUUCCUUUCUUUUUUGUCAAUAAAUAAUGAAAAAAUUGAAAUUCAAUUUAAUGCAAUAAUAAACCACAAUAAUAAAAUUAAACUAAUUAAUAUUAAUCAAAAUCUAAUACUCAUGCAAACAACUACUUUUACAUGAUUUUUAUUCACUAACUCUUAUUAAUAGUAAAAAAAAUAAAUUAAAAAUUAUUCAUUCUUCCAUGUUUACGAAACUGUCACCAAUCAAGUGAUCAAUUUCUUUCUACAUCCAACCAUGUGAUGUCAACAUUAUUUUCAGUGAGAAAGUUAGCUCGAAAUUUCUUUCUUUUUCUUUAGUGAUGCUAGAUAAAGAUCAACCAAGUGCUUGAGAGCACGACAAUCACGUGAAUAAUGUCCUUUUUCACCACAUCAAAAAUAAGUAAUUGUUUCACGUUUCUCAUCUUUUUUUUUGUUCAACCAAUGAUUAACACCCGGAAUAGAAUUUCUUUCUUGGUCAUCACGACCACGACCACGACCAUAACCACGACCACGUCUAGGGUCGCGACCUUUUCCACGCCUAGCAUGGUAAGCAUGCAUAUCAUUCACCUCAGGGAAUGGUGCAGAUACAGUAAGUGGAUUCUUGUAAUUUUUCGUCAAAAAAUUAUUAUUUUAUUCAGCCACGAGAAGAUGAGAACUCAGUUCAGUAUAUUUCUUGAAACCUUUUUCUCGAUAUUGCUUCUGUGAUAGUAUAUUCGAGGUAUGAAAGUGGAGAGCGUCUUUUCCAUCAUAUCGUCAUCAUUGACCGUCCCUCCACAUAGUUUCAAUUAAGAAAAAAUUCUGAACAUGGCAGAAUUGUACUCAUGAACAGACUUAUAGUCUUGAAACCUUAGAUGCAUUCAUUCAUAUUGUGAUUUUGGGAGGAUGACCAUCUUUAAGUGGUCAAGCCUUUCUUUUAGGAUAUUCCACAAUACGAGUGGAUCCUUAGUAGUAAGGUAUUCCAUUUUUAGAAUUUCGUCAAGAUGAUGAUGGAAUAAAAUCAUAGCAUUAGCACGAUUUUGACUAGAUGCUGUAAUUUCUUUCUUUAUGGUGUCUCCAACACCCAUAACAUCUAGGUGGAUAUCAACAUCCAGCACCCAUGAAAUAUAGUUCUUGCCCGAACAUUGAAGUGUAACGAACUCACACUUAGUAAGAUUAUUAGACAUACGAAAAAGGGAAGAAAAAUAAUACCUUAGCCUUUAACUUUGAGAUGGUGGAGUCUUGUGCUGAUAACAUUUUAUGAAAUAACAAAGAAUAAAGAACAAGAGUAUAGAGAGAAGAGAGAGUAAUUGUUAAUUCUCUUGAGGAUGAUUUAAAAUGAAGGAAUUCCUUCUAUUUAUAGGGAAAAUUUGCUCCUAUUUUCACACUAAAAAGAUAAAUACAUCAAGUCCUGAUAGACAUCAACUAAUUCUUGAUAGAUCUUGACAGACAUUCACUAUAACUGAUAUACAUCAAUAUCAUAACAGGAGCAAAAUAAUUGUCUAUUCUUGAUAUGUUAAAAGUGACAAAUAAAAGUGAAAAUCUUAUCUUUUAAAUAAUGAACAAGUAACAUGAUAGAUGGAGUAAAUGACUUCUCCACAUCUACUUUAUAUAUUAUAAUAAAAACAUAUGAUUUUUUUACGAAUAUAUUAUUGGGUUCAUAGUAUAUGAAAGAAGUGUGAAUGAAAAACUGGAGAAUAAAAUGGUGGAGGGGAAGGAGACACUAAAAUGGAAAGUGUACUCCCAAAUUAGAAAGUUUACUCUUUCUCCCACAUUGGUGGAAGAAGAGAACUUGAAAGUUUUUUAUAAUCAAGAACACUUACUCCACAUGACAAGUGAGACAAGAAAUAAUAGAUGCCUCUCGCCAUUGUCGUCGUCGCUCGCUCGGCUCGACUUCGACUUCGGCUUCGGCUUCGGAUUUGGAUUUGGAUUUGGAUAAUGAUCGAUCGAUGAGAUCUAUCUUUUUGGACAAACUUCUGCAGUGUUUCAACAGUUGCACUGUUUCAAGUGAACUGAUGCAUUAUUUUCAAACUGGUGCUUCAAAAAUGAUAUUGUUCUGAACUGAUAAACUGAGGCUAUAGAAGGUUGGAACGGGUUCAAAAUGAUGCUUCAGUAGGAUGUAAUACUUCAAUGAAGUGACACACUGAUUCAUGAAAUGAGAUGACUGUUCAGGAAAAGAUGCAAUCUUUGAUGAACAGACAUGAACUUACAGCAAAGGUGUAACCUUUGGAGUGAACCAUUGCCUCUUUUCAGAAGAGGCAUGUUAUGGCUAUAUAAACCUGCUUUCAUCCACAGGUUUUGAUAUGAAAUUUCAGAAUAAAAAAUACUCUUCUUGUCUUCAAAAAUUCUGUGUAAUCAUUCAAACUGUUGAGUGUGUUCGACGAGUCUAAAUAUUUGAGGUACCGCUAUAUUUGGAUUGAAGGCCAUUUUAUCCUGGGAUGAAAAAUUCCAUAACCUCGGGUACAGUGAGGGGAAUUGUUUCCUUAAGGAAACUCCGUGAAUUCAGACGACUUGGCCUUAUUCAUUUCUGUUUCAUCUUGAUUUCUGAAAAUAAAAUACACUUCUAAGAAAGAUCACUUUGAUCCUUUGUUGAGGGUAUUUUUUGUACUUUAUUGAGUUCUUAUUUUAAACUUGAACUAGUUGAAGUUGUUUUUCUACAUACACAGAUUCUGCGUACCCGUAGAAAGAAAUAACAAUCUUAAGGAAACAAAUUUCAGAAUCUGUAUAGCUUGUUUUUGGAAAUUACAGUUUUAACUUUCUACUCUGCCUGAACUUAACUAGUAAUUUGAAGUCAUAAAAACUUCAUCACAAGUUAAAGAUCAUUCGGUUGACAAUUGGAAGUCAUAAAAACUUCAUUGUCAACUAGAAACAAGAAGAAAAGUUUAAAGUUGCUUAACUUUAUAAGUAGUAAUCUGAAAAUACUAAGUAUUUUUUAUCUUGUGGUGACAGGAAAAAUGACAAGCGAUAGUCAAAUGCAAGAUGCGGCAACGUCUGUGGGGACAACUAAUAUUGCCACUUCAAGUCGCACAAAUGCUCCGCCUACAAUGGAAUCGACGGAGAAGCCCGAAAAAUUUACGGGCAUUGACUUUAAACGAUGGUAGCAAAAGAUGUUUUACCUCACCACUCUGUGUAUGCAACGGUUCACUAGAGAAGACGCUCCUGACGUGCCCGAGGGAACCUCGGACAAAGGGCAUUUCAUAAUUGUAGAAGCUUGGAAACAUUCAGAUUUCCUUUGCAGGAAUUAUAUUCUGAGUGGUCUCCAAGAUGACCUCUACAAUGUUUACAGUGGAACUAAGACAUCGAAGAAAUUAUGGGGGGAACUUGAACGAAAAUAUAAAACAAAGGAUGUGGGAAUUAAGAAAUUCCUUGUUGCACGAUUCCUGGACUUUAAAAUGAUAGAUACGAAAUCGGUUGUCUCUCAAGUGCAGGAGUUGCAAGUCAUCAUAUAUGAUCUCCUAGCAGAAGGUAUAUGUGUGAAAAAUACCUUAGUUGAACAAAUUUAAAAAGUUCUUAAUACUCACAAAAAUUGUUUUUAGGUUUGAUUGUGAAUGAUGCAUUUCAAGUAGCAGCGAUAGUUGAGAAGCCACUACCUUUGUGGAAAGACUUCAAAAAUUACUUGAAGCAUAAACGCAAGGAGAUGACUGUUGAAGAUCUUAUUGUCUGACUAUUGAAGAUGAUAAUAAAGCUACUGAGAGAAGGUCAAAAGGGAAUUCUACAAUUAAUGGAGCCCAUAUUGUAGAAGAUGACCAAAACAAUUCUAAGAAAAGAAAAAAAGCUGAACGAGGAAGCAAUCAACCCAAGAAGAAAUUCAAGAAAAAAUGCUUCAAUUGUGACAAGAUUAGCCACAAGUCCACGGAUAACCCGAAGAAAGGCAAGAAAACGGAUCAAGCAAAUAUGAUUGAAUCCAACAAAGAAUGCGGUGAUUUAUGUUCUAUGUUCUCAGAAUACAACUUGGGGGGAAAUCCUCUUGAAUGGUGGAUGGAUUCAGGUUCCACCCACCAUGUAUGUACCAACAAAGAGUUGUUUUCGUCAUUCGCUCCAGAUCAAGUAGAAGAAAUGAUCUACAUGGCUAACUCCGCUAUUGCUAAGGUAGAAGGAGCAGGAGAAAUAUGUUAGAAAAUGACUUCAAGAAAGGUCUUAACACUUAACAAUGUCUUUUAUGUUCCGGAGUUACGUAGGAAUUUAAUUUCUGUUUCACUUCUAGACAAGAACGGAUUCAAAUGUGUAACCAUUUCUGAAAAAAUUGUAAUUAGCAAAGGAGAAAUGUAUGUGGAAAAAGUCUAUCUGACCGAAGGCCUUUAUAAGAUGAAUGUAAUGACUGUUGAAAUAAACAAAAGUUCAAAUUCUUAUUAUUUUCUUGAGUCUUAUGAUUUAUGGCAUGAACAUUUUGCCCAUGUUAAUUAUAAAAUGUUACGAAAAUUGAUUAACUUAGAAGUUUUACCAAACUUUGAGUGCACUAAAUCAAAGUGUCAAAUGUGUGUGGAAUCGAAGUAUGCACGGUAUCCUUAUAAGUCCGUUAAAAGGAAUUCCAAUCCCUUAGACUUAAUACAUACUGACAUUUGUGAUAUGAAGUCAACACCAUCACGUGGUGGGAAAAAGUAUUUCAUAACUUUUAUUGACGAUUACACGAGAUAUUGUUAUGUCUAUCUGCUAAAUAGUAAGGAUGAAGCAAUAGAUGCGUUUAGGCAAUAUAAAACUGAAGUUGAAAAUCAAUUAGACAAAAAGAUCAAAAUCAUAAAAAGUGAUAGGGGCGAAGAAUAUGAAUCUCCCUUUGCGUAAAUAUGUGUAGAGAAUGAAAUCAUCCAUCAAACUAUGGCCCCAUAUUCACCUCAAUCUAAUGGAAUUAUGGAAAGGAAAAACCAAACUUUGAAGGAAAUCAUGAAUGCCUUCCUUAUAAGUUCUGGAUUACCGCAAAACUUGUGGGGGGAGGAUAUCCUUACGUCUAACCGUAUACUCAAUAGAGUUCCCCAUAGUAAGAUACAAUCAAUUCCUUAUGAAAAGUGGAAAAUAAGAAAACCCAACUUGAAAUAUUUCAAAGUGUGGGGGUGUCUAGCAAAGGUCCAAGUUCCUGUGCCUAAAAGGGUUAAGAUAGGACCGAAGACGGUGGACUAUGUGUUCAUAGGAUAUGCUAAAAGCAGUAAGGCAUGUCGAUUUUUGGUUCAUAAAUCCAAACAUUUGGAUAUUAAUGAAAAUACGGUAAUUGAAUCAGACAAUGCUGAAUUCUUUGAAAACAUUUAUUUGUAUAAAACUAGAUAUGAACAGUCUAGUGGGGGGUCUAAACGACCUCGUGAUGAACCAAUUGAAAAUGAACAUAAUGAAUAAAAUCCAAGAUGUAAAACACGUCAAAGAACGUUUACUUCGUUUGGAGUGGAUUUUGUGACAGUUUUUUGGAAAAUGAGCCUCAAACAUUUAAGGAAGCAAUGGCAUCUUCGAAUUCAUCCUUUUGGAAAAAGGCAGUCAAUAGUGAGAUAGAUUCAAUCUUAAGCAACAAUACAUGGGAAUUGGUUGACCUUCCUCCCAGAAAUAAACCUUUAGGUUCCAAAUGGAUCUUCAAAAGAAAGAUGAAACUGGAUGGUACUAUUGAUAAAUACAAGGCAAGACUUGUAGUAGAAGGCUUCAAACAGAGAGAAGGCCUUGAUUACUUCGAUACAUACUUGCCAGUAACAAGGAUAACAUCGAUUCGAAUGUUAAUUGCCUUGGCUGCGGUAUAUGGCCUUGAGAUCCAUUAAAUGAAUGUGAAAACCGCUUUCCUAAAUGGAGAAUUGAAGGAAGAAAUAUACAUGGAACAACCUGAGGAUUUUGUGGUUCAUGGAACAACCUGAGUAUUUUGUGGUUCCAGGAAAGAAAAAUAAGGUGUGUAAUUUUAUUAAGUCAUUGUAUGGACUAAAGCAAGCACCUAAACAAUGGCAUACGAAGUUUGACCAAACUAUGUUGGCAAACAGAUUCAAAAUAAAUGAAUGUGAUAAAUGUGUUUAUAUUAAAGACAUUCCAAAUCACCAAGUCAUUAUUUGUUUAUAUGUGGAUGAUAUGUUAAUCAUCAGUAGAGACAUUUCUAACAUAAAUGCAACAAAAUGAAUGCUCGAGAGAAAGUUUGAUAUGAAAGACCUUGGAGUUGCGAAUGUGAUCUAAGGUAUAAGAAUCCAAAGAACUCCACAAAGGUUGGCAUUGUCACAGUCUCAUUAUGUCGAAAAGGUACUUGACAAAUUCAAGUAUAUGAAAUUCGGUAUUGCCAAGACUCAAUUGGAUGCGAGCUUUGCACUUCGAAAGAAUGAAGAUGAAAGUGACUUGCAAUUGGAGUAUGCAAGAGUAUUGGGAUGUUUAAUGUAUAUAACGAACUGUACACGACCAAACAUAGCAUGCGCUAUCAGUAAAUUGAGUUGGUACACGAUUAAUCCCAACAAAACUCAUUGGAUGGCAUUAAAAGAGUUUUGGGGUUUCUUAAAUACACUCAAGAUUAUGCUUUGCAUUAUAAUAAAUAUCCUGUGGUACUUGAAUGAUCUAGUGAUGCAAAUUGGAUCACCGGAUGAAACGAAGUAAAAUCCAUAAGUGGAUAUGUAUUUACUAUUGGUGGAGGAGCGGUCUCUUGAAAAUUAUCCAAACAGACUUGUAUUGCUCGCUCUACAAUGGAAUAUGAAUUUAUCGCAUUAGAUAAAGCCAGUGAAGAAGCAGAAUGACUCCACUAUUUCUUGGAAGAUAUUCCUUAUUGGCCCAAACCAGUGGAACCAGUAUGUAUACACUGUGCUAGCCAAGAGGCAAUAGGCAAGGCAGGGAGCAUGAUGUACAACGGUAAAUCUCGUCACGUACAACGGAGACAUAAUACCGUUAGAAAACUUCUCUCUAGUGGAAUUAUCACUAUUGACUAUGUAAAGUCAAAGUAUAAUAUGUCGGAUCCAUUUACAAAAGGCCUAUCUAGAGAAGGAGUGGAAAGAACAUCUAAGAGAAUGGGUUUAAGGCGUAGGAUGAGCCAGCAUGGAGGUUACUCUGCCUAGCAGACUGGAAAUUCCAAGAGCUAGGUUUAAGGAGAUCAAACAAAGUUGUGUCUGACAGGUUCAACAUUGUCAAUUACCCAACUCAUUCUCAUGAUGUAGACAAUGUUUAGUAAACAAGGAUACGACUUAAGGUGAAAAGUCUUUUAAUGCUUAUCUAAAUUUGGCAGAUUAGACCAAAUAGUUUAAUCUACAGGAUUGAAUGUUUAGAAAUCACCUAUGUGAGAGCGAAGUGGAAGCCUCUUCAAAGAGAAUGUUAGUAAAGGAUUAUUCUCCAAGCUCUCAUGAAACCGGGACGUGCUUAUUGCUGAAAAGAACAAAACCAUGAGAACCAUAAAUUGUAAAAGGCUGGUUGUGUGACAUAUAUUGUCUAGGUGUACAUUAAAGCUCGACGGUUCAAGGAUAUCAAAUCUACCGAUUGACCGAGUGCAUCCGAUGCAUGUUCACUACGGAAAGUUUAAAGGGAAACCCACUUAUCCAGAUGCAAUCAGUCUUUGCCUGAUGAUCACAUACUUGUCCGUAAAAUUUUUAUGAUAAAUAACCAUUCCCCAUUCAUGUGGGGGAUUGUUGGGUUCAUAGUAUAUGAAAGAAGUGUAAAUGGAAAAAUAGAGAAUAAAAUGGUAGAGGGGAAGAAGAUACUAAAAUGGAAAGUGUAAUCCUAAAUUAGAAAAUUUACUCUUUCUCCCACAUUGGUGGAAGAAGAGAACUUAAAAGUGUUUAUAAUCAAGAACACUUACACCACAUGGCAAGUGAGGCAAGAAAUAAUACAUGCCUCGUGCCGUCAUCGUCGUCGCUCGCUCGGCUCAGCUUUGGAUUUGGAUUUGGAUUUGGAUUUGGAUUUGGAUAUCGAUCGAUGAGAUCUAUCUUUUUGGACAAUCUUUAUUUGAAUUCUGAAGAAUGCUAAGGAAAAAUACUGUAAAAUUUUUCUGCAGUGUUUCGACAGUUGCACUAUUUCAAGUGAACUGAUGCAUUAUUUUUGAACUGGUGCUUCAGAAAUGAUACAUUAUUUUGAACUGGGGCUACAGAAGGUUGCAAUGGUUCGAAAUGAUGCUUCAAAAGGAUGUAAUCCUUCAAUAAAGUGAGGUGUUACCUUUGGAGUGAACCAUUGCCUCUUUUCAGAAGAGACAUGUUAUGGCUAUAUAAACCUGCUUUCAUCCACAGGUUUUGAUACAAAAUUUCAGAAUAAAAAAACCUCUUCUUGUCUUCAAAAAUUCUGUGUGAUCAUUCAAACUGUUGAGUGCAUUCGAUGAUUCCAAAUAUUUGAGGUACCGCUAUAUUUGGAUUGAAGGCCAUUUUAUCCUGGGAGAAAAAAUUUCAUAAAAAAAUUCAUAACCUCGGGUACAGUGAGGGGAAUUAUUUACUUAAGGAAACUCUGUGAAUUCAGAUGACUUGGCCUUAUUCAUUUCUGUUUCAUCUUGAUUUCUGAAAAUAAAAUACACUUCUAAGAAAGAUCACUUUGAUCUUGUGUUGCGCAUAUUUUUUGUACUUCAUUGAGUUCUUGUUUUAAACUUGAACUAGUUGAAGUUGUCGUUCUACAUAUACAGAUUCUGCGUACCCGUAGAAGGAAAUAACAUAUAUAUAUCAUCAUUUAGUAUAAAGAAACAAAUUAAACGUGGAUGGUUCACAUAAAUUAGAGCAUAACAAUUAAUCUUGUCUAUAAAUAGAAGAGGUUAGAAAGAAGGAUACACAAAUCAUUAAAACAAAUUAAUAUCCCUCAAGAUGAAGACCAUAUUACUCUUUCUUUUCCUUGAAAUAGUAUUCCUUCCCUUGUCAGGCUUGGCAACUCCCAACAACCAAGUAUUGAUAGAUGUACUCGAUAUUAAUGGUAAUCCCCUCAACAAAAGCAAUAGGUACUGGAUAACUCCGGCCUACACCACUAUGGACGAUGGAGGCAUACGUGUUGCUAAUCUUGGUAGUGAUCUACAACAAAUCACUAUGUGUCCUACAUCAGUAGUACAAUCUCACCUUCCUACAGACGAUGGUAUCGUAGUUUAUUUUACACCUAAGAAUCCAAAACAUCAAACGAUUGUGGAGUCCACUCCGGUAAAUAUCCAUUUCUAUUUUGAUUAUCCUUUGUGUUCUAACCUAAAUGCGUGGAAGGUUGACAAUCUUGUAUCAGAAUUUCUGCCAAUUCUACACACCAUAAGCACAGGUGCAAAGGAUGAGAGCAGUUGGUUCCAAAUUAAGCAUACAACAAAUAGAAAGUAUAAGCUAGUGUUUUGUCUCUUUGACACUUAUUGCCAAGACAUUGGCAUCGUCUCACAAAGUGGUUAUCAUCGUUUGGUUCUCUCGGACAACCCAAAGCCUUUUUGCUCAAACUGGAUGAUAGAAUUGGAAUGGCAGCAGAAGUAUGAUCUUGUCAUGUUAUGCCUAGAUCUACUCUACGUAAUGUAUAAUAAUAAU